rnacentral:rRNA from 1 species
UACGAAGGGGGCUAGCGUUGUUCGGAAUUACUGGGCGUAAAGGGCGCGUAGGCGGUGUGUCAAGUCAGGCGUGAAAGCCCCGGGCUCAACCUGGGAAUGGCGAUGGGUACUGGCUCGCUAGAGUGCGGUAGAGGAGAGUGGAAUUCCCGGUGUAGCAGUGAAAUGCGUAGAGAUCGGGAGGAACAUCAGUUGCGAAGGCGACUACCUGGCCUGUUCUUGACGCUGAGGCGCGAAAGCUAGGGGGAGCAAACGGG